ensembl:lncRNA
GAUGGGAAUCAAUUGUUCUCCAUGUCCAUUGGAGGUAGGACAAGAAGCAAUGAGCUUAAUCUGCAGCAAGGGAGAUUUAGAUUAGAUUUUAGGAAAAAAACUCUCAACUCUCAGGAGAGUUAAAGUGUGGAAUCGGCUUCCAAGGGAAACUGCAGAAUCCCCAUCCUUGGAGGGUUUUAAGAACAGGUUGGACAAACACCUGUCAGGGGUGGUCUAGGUUUACUUGGUCCUCAGCACAAGGGGGAAGGAUGAGAUGACCUCUCGGGGUCCCUUCCACCCUACAUUUCUAUGGUUCCGCAAGAUAAUGAGUGGAAUAGAGGUGGAUUGAGAACUUCUGGUCAUCCUUUGUCAUAGCAGAAGGACAAGGGGAGAUUCAGUGAAAUGGAAAGACAGAAAAUUUAACAUCAAAUGAAAGGCAGGACAUUUUCCUUGCACAACAGAGAAUUAGCCUGUGGGACACACUGGGUGGGAGGAUCCUAAAGGUAACUGAGAGGGAAGUUGUGGGGUAGGGGGAAGGUGUCAGGGACCCUGGAACUGGUGCAGAAGCACACAAUAGCCAUGGAGAUGUGCUCUCAGCAGCUCCCCAGGACCUGCAUGGAUCUCAAGGGGGUUUGAAGGCAGAACACUAUUCAUUUCCUAGAUUCCCAAGCCAGAAGGGACCAUUGUCAUCAUUUGGUCUGACGAUCUUUAUAACAUAGGCCAGAUAAUUCCACCUAGGAUUAGGUAUGGAAGAGAGGCUUGUUCAACCUUUCCUUGAUAGAAUGAUCUUGACAAUUUUCUAUUCUCCCCCAUCCUCCUUGUUCAGUGGGAGUGAUGAUUUGAACCUGGGCAAAUAACCUGACCUAUGACUUACCUCAGCUGGAAGCAGCCUAAAAUCCCUGGGGAGUUCUUCUUUCUGUACUCACAGGAUUUCUCUGCUUGUUUAUCUUUUACAGAGUCUCCGAGUGUCCUGUCACCAUGGAUCUGGCUCUGUUCAUUGUUAGCUAUUCCAUUAUUACUCUUUCUCAUCUGGAAGUGUUGUUCUUUCCCGCUGCUGAGAGGGCAAUCGUCUAAACCGUUACCCAAAACUGAGCCUAGCAAGGAGACACUACUGAAUGAGAUGUAUGAAAAGAGGUUAGAGGACUUCAGAAAGCAUGGACACCAGAAUCCAUCUGCAGACUCCCCCAAGGAGAUGCUCAGAUGCUGUUGAGAAGGAGGGCCACGCCAGAUACACUAAUCCAGCUGGCACAGAACUGAUAGUCCACCCACCUGCCCAAUGCAACUGCGUCACACGUGAUGCAUUUAGGUCACAGGGGAAGAAUGAAAUACACAAAGGCAGCCAGGAGGGAGGUUUGGUGCUGUAACCAGGUGUUAGUUUCAUAGAGAGCUCCCUUGUCUACGAUGCCAAACACUUCAUGUCGAGCACAGCAGUGCUGCGGAUCCAUAGCUCCUAACACAGAUUUUCUUUCCUCUCCCCAAAUAUGAAUCUUCUCUAGAUGAUAGACUUGAACAGACAGUGCUAUGAAGAGGACACCACCUGGUUCCCUGGAGGCUCUCAAGUCAUGACACCAGGUUCUCAUGGUGACACACAGUCUUCCAGCUCCUGGGGUAAAAUACUGUGUUUUUCAUGCUUUGGAGGUUUAUAACCA